GAUGAACGCUGGCGGCGUGCCUAAUACAUGCAAGUCGAGCGAACAGACGAGGAGCUUGCUCCUCUGACGUUAGCGGCGGACGGGUGAGUAACACGUGGAUAACCUACCUAUAAGACUGGGAUAACUUCGGGAAACCGGAGCUAAUACCGGAUAAUAUAUUGAACCGCAUGGUUCAAUAGUGAAAGACGGUUUUGCUGUCACUUAUAGAUGGAUCCGCGCCGCAUUAGCUAGUUGGUAAGGUAACGGCUUACCAAGGCGACGAUGCGUAGCCGACCUGAGAGGGUGAUCGGCGACACUGGAACUGAGACACGGUCAAGACUACUACGGGAGGCAGCAGUAGGGAAUCUUCCGCAAUGGGCGAAAGCCUGACGGAGCAAAGCCGCGUGAGUGAUGAAGGUCUUCGGAUCGUAAAACUCUGUUAUUAGGGAAGAACAAAUGUGUAAGUAACUAUGCACGUCUUGACGGUACCUAAUCAGAAAGCCACGGCUAACUACGUG
rnacentral:rRNA from 1 species